rnacentral:tRNA from 1 species
GUUACCGUAGCUUAAAGUUUAAAGCAUGGCCCUGAAGCGGCCAAAACGAAGUGCACCCUUCCGCUAACA